rnacentral:rRNA from 2 species
UGGCGGUAGGCCUAACACAUGCAAGUCGAACGGCAGCACAGAGGAGCUUGCUCCUUGGGUGGCGAGUGGCGGACGGGUGAGGAAUACAUCGGAAUCUACUUUUUCGUGGGGGAUAACGUAGGGAAACUUACGCUAAUACCGCAUACGACCUACGGGUGAAAGCAGGGGAUCUUCGGACCUUGCGCGAUUGAAUGAGCCGAUGUCGGAUUAGCUAGUUGGCGGGGUAAAGGCCCACCAAGGCGACGAUCCGUAGCUGGUCUGAGAGGAUGAUCAGCCACACUGGAACUGAGACACGGUCCAGACUCCUACGGGAGGCAGCAGUGGGGAAUAUUGGACAAUGGGCGCAAGCCUGAUCCAGCCAUACCGCGUGGGUGAAGAAGGCCUUCGGGUUGUAAAGCCCUUUUGUUGGGAAAGAAAUCCAGCCGGCUAAUACCUGGUUGGGAUGACGGUACCCAAAGAAUAAGCACCGGCUAACUUCGUGCCAGCAGCCGCGGUAAUACGAAGGGUGCAAGCGUUACUCGGAAUUACUGGGCGUAAAGCGUGCGUAGGUGGUUGUUUAAGUCUGUUGUGAAAGCCCUGGGCUCAACCUGGGAACUGCAGUGGAAACUGGACAACUAGAGUGUGGUAGAGGGUAGCGGAAUUCCCGGUGUAGCAGUGAAAUGCGUAGAGAUCGGGAGGAACAUCCAUGGCGAAGGCAGCUACCUGGACCA